rnacentral:rRNA from 1 species
CCUACGGGAGGCAGCAGUGAGGAAUAUUGGUCAAUGGGCGCGAGCCUGAACCAGCCAAGUCGCGUGAGGGAAGACGGUCCUAUGGAUUGUAAACCUCUUUUGUCGGGGAGCAAAAGACGCCACGCGUGGCGUUCCGCGAGUACCCGAAGAAAAAGCAUCGGCUAACUCCGUGCCAGCUGCCGCGGUAACACGGAGGAGGCGAGCGUUCUCCGGAUUUAUUGGGUUUAAAGGGUGCGCAGGCGGAAGAUCAAGUCAGCGGUAAAAUGGAGAGGCUCAACCUCUUCGAGCCGUUGAAACUGGUUUUCUUGAGUGAGCGAGAAGUAUGCGGAAGGCGUGGUGUAGCGGUGAAAUGCAUAGAUAUCACGCAGAACUCCGAUUGCGAAGGCAGCAUACCGGCGCUCAACUGACGCUCAUGCACGAAAGUGUGGGUAUCGAACAGGAUUAGAUACCCGGGUAGUC